CGAACGGGACCGUGCAGAUGUAAGGCUAUGGAUCUUAGGUAGGGAGACUAUCCUGCACGACCAACUCAGGCGAGCUCUUAAGAGCAAAGAACUUUCUCCGGCUGAAGCAAGAGAGAUGUGGCAGAAAGGUCAUUCGGAGACACUCCAAGCACGAGGAUUCUGAGCGCUGUGGCUGGCUCCGAGGCGGGACCCAGGCACACGGGCCCAAGAGAGGCCUCCAGGAGUUAAAGCAGCUCCCCGCUGACAGCCAGCAGGAGACAGGACCUCAACCUACCACCCAAGGAACUGAAUUCAGCCAAUCUCCUGAAAGUCCUGGAAGUGGAGCUCCGGGAGGGAGCAGAGCCCUGCUGAUGCCUCGUGACCCACAGACGCCCUAAGAUACUAAAUCAGUGUUGUGCUCAGCAGCUAAAACCGUGAUGAUGUGUUACUACACAGCACGAGAACACGCACAGAACCACAUCGUGCCAACGACCCAAAUCCCUAUCAGCCCCACCGUGUAGAACCAAGCACCAAGUUAAACAUUUGGUGCACGUCAGCGCUCACACAGGUGACACACACACGUGUGGCUGUCCUUGCAGGUGAUGACGUUGAGGAAUGGGACUGGCGAGUGUUGGGGCCCGAGUUCAGAGCCAGGUCGGGGACGUCCAGAAGCCCAAGCUUCCGACCGGUCAGUUGCGGCCGCCCCACGGGCUGGGUCUGGUGGCCACAGCUCAGCACAGCGCUCUGAGCCUGGAUUCACAGCAGCUCUGGAGAAAGAGCCAGGACUUGCAGCUGGCUAACCGCGGCAAUACCGCCCAGACUGCCAGACCCCUGGCCGAGCUCUUCUGCCUGCGCAGCCUGGGUCCCGUUCGUGUUAUAAUGACACCUGCGUGUGCCUUCACAGAGCUCUCCGCUGGCCAGCUUCAUGGAUGGGUCUCCACUCAUCAAGGGCUUCCUGCCAUGCGCAGAGCACCCAGAAACACAAGGUGAUGCCCAGUAACUAUCGCCUGAACGAAUGUUCCCACCUGGACGAGUUCGGAACGUUCGCUCUUUUGCUUCUGGCCUAGUCGUUUCAUCUCUGGAUCAGACCCCUCUGUGGCUGAAACAGGAAAACUGAAAGACUCCAUAAAAACCUGCGUUUUGCUCCUCCUCCUGCGUCUGUUCUUGCUAGGACCUGCACCCCCACUUUCUACACGUCUUGUGACGCAAAUAGGUCCUCCUCAUGAGGUCUGCAUUACAGGUUGGACCACUCCCUCCAGGAGUUAAUGACUUCUCUAGAACCGGUAGCAUCUAAGGAAGGACCAGGUGAGAAUGACCAAGAGAAGCUGUCAUAUGCAGAUUCCAGACCACAGGCGCUAGAUAUCUCCAGGACCCCCUGGCCCCAAGCAAUAGCACCUGGGCCCUCGCCUUUGUUCUAACCAGUCCCUGGAGGACUGAGAGGACAUUCUACACCAGACCACGGUCCUCAAGAAAAACCCCAGACCCCAAGCAAAGACAGGACUCUCUCUCCUUUGCUUUCGGAGUCUCCCAUCACUGUCUGUACCUGCACUCUCGACACCUUCAAUAAACUCUGCGGUCACCUCCUGCUGGCUCGAGGUUGAUUUCUACCCUGCCCUCCGCCAGGGGCCCUCUUGGCUGGUCUGUGGGACCCCCUCUGGGUCAUGACGAAGGCUGUCCUGUCCGUUCACUCAAAUCUCCAGCAGAAGUCAAAGUGAGGCAGUGUGCUUCAUGGCUUGGUUGUUUCUGCAGGGCCGAGACAAUUCCACAGGGAACAAGCGGGACUCUGGCCCCGUCGUGCAGGUUGGACACUCUGCAGCCUGGGGAAGAGGACUGAGAGCCGGCAGCACGUGUCUCCUGCCACUGUGCGGGGUCCCCCAUGUCCCUGCAGAAGGAGGCUCCACCCAGCCCUUGUCACAACAAAGGCUCUGAGCUCCACGGAUCUGAUGACCCGGGCAGACCCGAACAUGUGGUAUGACCCAGCUUCGGUUCUCUGUCACAGUGGGGGGUUGACCUGCUUCCGGGGAGACUGCCUGAAUAUUCUAAUCAGAACACAGACAUUUGUCAGAGCAGGAGCCCUGAUUUCACAGCCUGGGCGAAGUGUGUUUUAGCAGAGACAUCACAGUAAACUGGCUGAUUUUAAAUUAGAUUAUGCCUCAAAGUCCCCUUAGCCCAGAUCACAUGCUUUUCUGCUUCCUAGUCUUCAAACAUGUAGGUUGAUGUAUUUCUACCCCCUCCUGAGUUUUGCCAGCUAACAGGUCCAGGGAGGAGCCGCUCUCCACUUUGGCUGGAGCUGCACGCAGGCUGUGGGAGCAGCCCCCGGGCCCUCCAGCUCCCCCAGGAGGACAGGGCGGCCCCCUUGGUGCCCCUCCCCCACCUGCAGACCACAAUCCAGGACUCGCCAUCUGCCCAUCAUGGGUGUCCUGAGAAUUGAUAAGCAGCUAGACAGCAGUAUUGCCGAGAGGCGCCGUGAAAAGACCAAGAACUGCUGUUAUUAAUCAAACAGAGACCCCUCCGGGGAAGCCACUUUGUUUGCUGAACUACAGUCAACUGAGAACUUGCUUGACUCUGCGUCUAGAAUUGAGAUCAGCCCUCUAAUUGUUAAGAGACUGGCAGAGCCUUGAAAUAAAAAGAGGGUUUAACCUGCUGAA